UACGUAGGGUGCGAGCGUUAAUCGGAAUUACUGGGCGUAAAGCGUGCGCAGGCGGUGAUGUAAGACAGGUGUGAAAUCCCCGGGCUUAACCUGGGAACUGCAUUUGUGACUGCAUUGCUGGAGUGCGGCAGAGGGGAUGGAAUUCCGCGUGUAGCAGUGAAAUGCGUAGAUAUGCGGAGGAACACCGAUGGCGAAGGCAAUCCCCUGGGCCUGCACUGACGCUCAUGCACGAAAGCGUGGGAGCAAACAGG
rnacentral:rRNA from 1 species